rnacentral:lncRNA from 1 species
GGGACUAUUUAAAACAAAAUUACGAAAAAGCGAAAACCCUCCUCCCCCUCCCUCGCUUCCUCCAUUUUCGGACACCGACUCCGAUCGAACGAACCACUCAUCGGCCUCCGCCCCCCAUUUUUUAAUUCCGAUCGUCGCUUCGGAUUUCGAUUCGGCCUCUCUCUCUAGAAAGAGCAGCGACGAACUCAUCGAUCGACCGAUCCCGCCGAUCUCCGCAGUGAGCAGGUCUUCGGCACCGAUCGCCAUGGCGAGGCCCUCGAAGCAGCAGGCGUCGUCCGACGAUGCCCUGUCGGACGGGUCCGAGGAGGAGGAGCAGCCGCAGCUCGACGAGCCCGUCAACGAGGAGGACGAGGAGGAGCUCGACGCCGUCGCCCGCUCCGCCAGCUCCGCUGACGACGACGACGCCGCCCCUUCCGCCGACGACGACGCCGACGAGAAUGGCGAGGCCGAGGAGGAGGACGACGACGAUUAGGUUCGGUUGCCCGGCUGCUCCUGUUUGUUCUUUUACUGGAUUAGUUGGGAAUUUCGGCGCUGGAUCUCUCGUUUGCUUGCUAGGGUUUGCGGGGUCCGGCGCGGUUGUGGGUCUCUCUGGUGUUUUGCGCUAGCAGGUGGAUGUGUGCUUCGUGUUUGAAUGCGAGUUUUUCAAGAAGUUUUAGAAUGAGCGUUGGAUUUAGACCGAGGAUGUUCGGUUAGACGCUCGAGACAAGUUUCUAGUGGUCUCUCGUGAUUCUUUUACUGCAUUCGUUUCUGCAGAUUGGCGCUUGCUGUAUUGAUCCUCCGCUUUGCUAUUGAAUUGCGCAGAAUGAAAAGUAUAUACGUGUACUGCAAGGUUAAAUUAGCACAAGAGUUGAAGCAUUUUCGAGGUGAACUUGUUUCUUGCUCUUCGUUUGGGGUUUAUUAUUUUCUGGCAUACUCUGGGUUGGAUGAAGAAGAGCGGAAGUUGAGAGUGUCUCUCGCUCAUAGUGAAGGCAUGGUGUUCAACCUUCAUGUUGUGCAUGCCAAAAACUAUGCCUUUGAGAGGGAUUUCUGUUUAUUUUAUUUUCUUUCUUUCUUUUUUUCCUGGUUGGUUGGUUGAUUUUGCAUCUCCAUGGCUAGAGUACUCGAGCAGAGCUGCAACUUUUCAUGUUUCUAAUAUUCGAAGCUGAUGACUUGGGUUUUCCCCUUUUAUUUCAACAUUUCCUUGUGAAGUUGUGAUCGAAAGCUUCAUCAAUCACCUCUCACCAUAUACAAAGUGGGAAACGAUGGCGAACAGAGCUUGUCUAUCUUGCUCUGCUUCUGUCUUUAUAUACACAUGACUUCUUAAGUUGGCAAGUGCUUCCGUACGUCUGAAAUGUUGUUAGAUACUUGUAACUAUGACUUAGUGAGUAUGAGAAGUGUUGCCUCUACUUAUUUAUUUUUGCAUUCUUUUUCCUCAUUCAUUGCACAGGAAGAUAAUGGUGAAACAGAAGUUAGCAAGAUGAAAAGGCCAGGAUCCGUGAAAUGCAAAAGUUGAAGAAGCAGAAGAUU